rnacentral:rRNA from 1 species
UAGCGAAGGGGGCUAGCGUUGCUCGGAAUGACUGGGCGUAAAGGGCGCGUAGGCGGCUCAUACAGUCAGAUGUGAAAUUCCUGGGCUUAACCUGGGGGCUGCAUUUGAUACGUGUGGGCUUGAGUGGGGAAGAGGGUCGUGGAAUUCCCAGUGUAGAGGUGGAAUGCGCAGAUAUCAGGAGGAACACCAAUAGCGAAGGCAGCUCGCUGGGACGGUACUGACGCUAAGGCGCGAAAGCGUGGGGAGCGAACAGG